CCUACGGGUGGCAGCAGUGAGGAAUAUUGGUCAAUGGGCGCGAGCCUGAACCAGCCAAGUAGCGUGAAGGAUGACUGCCCUACGGGUUGUAAACUUCUUUUAUAAAGGAAUAAAGUGAGGCACGUGUGCCUUUUUGUAUGUACUUUAUGAAUAAGGAUCGGCUAACUCCGUGCCAGCAGCCGCGGUAAUACGGAGGUUCCGAGCGUUAUCCGGAUUUAUUGGGUUUAAAGGGAGCGUAGAUGGGUUGUUAAGUCAGUUGUUAAAGUUUGCGGCUCAACCGUAAAAUUGCAAUGGAUACUGGCAGCCUAGAGUACAGGUGAGGUAGGCGGAAUUCGUGGUGUAGCGGUGAAAUGCUUAGAUAUCACGAAGAACACCGAUUGCGAAGGCAGCCUACUAAACUGUAACUGACAUUGAUGCUCGAAAGUGUGGGUAUCAAACAGGAUUAGAUACCCGAGUAGUC
rnacentral:rRNA from 1 species